GGGUCUUUUGCACAGCUGUAGACAAGACAGCAAGAGACUGCUAGCCAGCAAAGAGCAUUCCAAGGCUACAGCCCUGUGUACUAACCCUUUCCAACUAACUUUACAUUCCCUCAUCCCAUAUGUAACCUCCAGCCCCCCACUUGAAGCAGGCAGUCUGACAAUAAUAAUAGUAGUCACAAGAAAAUGUAACCUCUGUCAUAGUAAUAAUUUUUGAAAACUUAAAUGCCCAGGAUGUGAUUUUAAUUAAAAUGCAUACUGCCUGGCUUGUCUGUUUCCAGGAGAAGCUUUCUCUCACAGAAUGAAGCUGAUCUGUUAUGCCUAUUUGCACUCCCUCACUUAGAGGUCAGUCCCAUCAUUACACAGCCUGAUUUGUAGAGAGCACAUUAAGUGGUAUAUAAACAUGGGAAUGAAUCUGUUAUGCCUUAAGUUUGGCUUUGCCCAAUAACCUUUGCAUGAACAGGAAUGUUCAAAACAAAGAUUUUUUUACUUUAGCAGCUCAGUUGAUGUUAUAUUGUUGCACCAUCUCUUGUAUAGCUCCUAGUAAGGUCCAGAUACUGUACUGAUUACCUCACUAAUCUAACAUCACUGUUCACACAUGGCUAAUACACUGAAAUGGUAAGAAGUGGAUUUACAAGGGGAUUGGCUCCUCCCUCAGUAUAUAUCAUAGAGAAGCAUGUACAUAGUUUAAGCUCUACAGUUGUACAUAUCUACCUCCAGUCACCGCAGUGUAGGCCAGUUGUGUCCAACCCCCAGCCAACAGGUUGCAUGCAGCCUAGUAGCCCAGCACGGCCCCACGCACACACCUAUCUCUCAGCAACAGCCAACAGUGGUGUGCCAUGAGCACUGUGUGGGCUGAAACCAGGGCAAGGGGACUGUGAUGUGCAGUGCUAACUCAAGUGAUGGCCAAUAAUUUUGACUGAACACAAACCUGUGAGCAGAGAAAAAAAUAUGCAGCCAUGUUUUCUGUUUUAAUAAAGGAAUUUGACAAUAGGUUUCAAGAGUGCUGAAAGGUCAUCAGUUUUUUUGUAUAUUUGCAACUCCAUUUUAAGUUGACAUAAAUUCAUGACUUGCGAAUUUUCAAGUAGAAUGUAGAGUUUCAAUCAGAUAUUCAACUCAGAAACCAGAUCAUUUAUCUUUACUAAACUUUUAUAAGUCCUUUUUUUACCAGGGAAAGGUAUCCUUCGCUUCAUAAUUAGCCUCAUUCACACCAUCACUUUUUGGCAGUAUAUACAGUUGUGAACAACUCUUUUCAAGGACAAAGUAUAGAAGAAGUAUAUUUCCUAAAAAGCUCUGAUGAACACCUUGAGAACUCACUAAGAAUUGCACCCACUUCUUUGCAUUUCAAACCAGAAAUUGCCAUGAGUUUCAAAGAAACAAGGUCAAAUAUCCCUCUAGUUUUAUGUAUUUUUGCUCUCUUUUUAUAUUUUAGUAAAAAAAUAUUAAAAAAAAAAAGUUUGGCUGUAUAUAUAUAUAAACUAUAUUACAUAUUUUGUAUGUGGCCUGAGACACUUCACUCAGUAUAGCUCAGGAAGGUCAAAAGGUUGGAACCCAGUAUAGCUAGUUCUACGCUUGAGUAUUUCUUCCUUAAGAACUUCUUCAGGUGUUAUAUAGAACUUUAUAGACUUUUUUGUUUCUCUUUUACAAGAGGAGUUGAAGAUUCCUAUGUCGUUUUUAAGGGAGUAGCAUGGAAGGAUUAACCUAAAUCUGUAUUUGUCCAUGAACAGAGCUGAAAGCAGAAACUAAGUCUCUGAAAUUAAUCUCAAGCACUUUAGGAUUGAUGCAGUGCUACAGAAGUUAGAAAAUUCAUACCAUUACUUCCUAAGCAUUCAAAACACUUGCAGUAUUUUGCCUUCCACAAAAAAAUGCACAGCAAAAUGUUUCCCAAGAUGUUCGUGAUCCAAUGGAAAUUCCAAGAGAACCAGAAUGAAAGCUGAAUAUCACAUUAUACUAUGCCAGGAUCCUCUCUAAAAUUAAGGACUUGGUGCAAAGUGCUUAGUCUCAGCCCUUCCGUAUCCUUCGUCAUUAUCCUGAUAUAGGAACUGAUAUUCACUUCAUUAUGUUGCUUCCACAUCAACAACUUGCACUUACUUAUAAAGAAAAUACAAAAUAUCACUAUGUGUGUUCCAAGAAACAUACAUUUAAAAUAGUCUAAAUAUUGAAUUUGCCUGAGUAAUGCCUAUAAUUAUGGACUUCCUGGGAUCUAAAUAGAUAGAAUCGUAGAAUCAUAGAAUCAUGAAGGUUGGAAAAGACCUCUAAGAUCAUCUAGUCCAACCAUCCACCUACCACCAAUAUUGCCCACUAAACCACAUCCCUAAGUACUACAUCUGCCCUUUCCUUAAAUACUUGCAUGGACAGUGAUUCUGCUACCUCCCUGGGCAGACAGUACCAACACCUUACCACACUUUUUGAGAAAAAAAUCUUCAUAUUAUCUAACCUGAACAUCCCCGAGCACAGCUUGAGGCCAUACUACUUACCUCUUCUAUUAUCUAUUAUAUUUUAUUUGUUUUUUCCAGAGGCAAGCUCAAUGCCCAAUCCACUUUCCACAGAAGUCAAUGAGAGUCUUGAUACUUAUUUCAAGACAAAGAAGGUCAGUCCUACUGGGCCUAAAAAUUACACACUUUUUGGACAAAGGAAGACCCAAAAGGCCCAUAUUUUGGUCUCAUGCUGAACUGACUUAUUUCAGGGGAAGGUCAGCCCAGUGUGCAAAGGGAUAGGGAGUGAACACAUUUGCUGCAUGUGUGGGAGAGGAAGGUUGCUGCUGGAAAGCGGGUCUGGAUGUUUAAUUCCUGUUGGCGCUAGCAUCCUUCAGGAGAUACUCCAACUCAAAGCCUUUACAGUCUCAGAAUAUGUUUUCACAUGCUUUUUUUCAGUUUUGACUCUUUCCAAACAGUAACAAAACUUCUCUAUCAUUCACAUGCCUAAAACUAAAAUGUAGGUCUUGAUUAUGAAUCAAAACAGGACUCCUACUUUAGACUGAUGCUGUACUUUGGAAGAUGAUGACAGAUGUGAAUGAGCUGGAGAACGGAUCACAUCCUACUCCAUUCAUUUUCACCACCAUUGUGCAAAUUGCUCAUCUACAAUAGGUAUUGCAAGGAUCUUUCUUUCCAGGAUAUAUGUACAUUUAUUAUUUUUAUUUUACAUUUAUUUUAUUUUAUAUUUUAUUUUUUAUCUUCUGUGUGUGUGACCAGCAGAUAUACUGGAGGACAUGAACUUUAUAUGAAUGGACUCUUUCCUCCUGGGAAAUAGUUCCCUUUCUAUGAUGGUCAAUUGAAACUUUCCUUCUGGGUAGCAAGUAACUUCCACAACUGUGCAAUCCAAAUGGCACAGAUGCUUCCCAAGGCCCUGCUUCCACAGAAUCAUUAAUGAACUAAGCAUGAUAAAAAAUCAGAUGCUUUUGUAAUGCAUUGAAGAGAAAAUACAUAGAAAAAAGAAAUCAGUUUACUGUUAGUGGUACAUUGGUUUCUGUGUUUGCGUAUCAAUUGACUUUUUAAAAAUUGUGAAUUUAUUCUAAGAUCAAGACAAAGUAAGUGUAAGAUGUAUUUUUCCUGUUUCAGCAUAUGAAAGGAAAUAGUUUACUAUUUCACACAGAAGGAGAAAGUCAUUACUUUGAUCACAUAUAUUUUUCUCUUUGCUUUAAGUGUGGUUCAGGCAGAUGGAGAUGAAUUUAAAGUUGCUGUCUGAACUUACAUGAGAGUAAAUCAGGUAGGACAAAGAACACUGCAUAAUCCUCAUUCUUUAAAGGGCUGUGUUUGUUAAAUAAAUAAUUUAUUUGUAGCAAUGCUCAAUGCAGAGUUAUCUGCUGACAGAAAUAAUUACACCUUUUAUGCAGAAUGAACUGUGCAGACAAAGCACUGGAAAACUGUCUUGAACAGAUCCAGUCACAAGUAAUCAGAAUUCAUGCAUAGGACAGGGAGGUGCUUAUAACCUGCUAGGCUUUGUCUUCUUUCUUUGAUAUCCUUUAUUUACCACAGCACAUUCAUGUGUCAUGUCUGAUAUAAUCAUAGAAUCACCAAGGUUGGAAAAGACCUCUGAGAUCAUCUAGUCCAACUGUUCACCUACCACUAACAUUGCCCCACUAAACCAUGUCCUUUAGUAAAACAUCUUAACUUUUCUUGAACAUCUCCAGGGUUGGCAGCUCAACCACCUCCCUGGGCAGCCCACUGAAGAGCCUGAGCACUUUUUCAGAGAAUAAAUUUUUCAUAACAUCCAAACUGAACCUCCCUUGGUGCAACUUGAGGCCAUUCCAUCUCGUCCUAUCACUAGUUACAGAAGAAAAGAGGCCAACCCUUACCUCACUAUAACCUCCCUUCAGGUAGUUGUAGAAACCGAUAAGGUCUCCCCUGAGCAUCCUCUUCAUCAAACUAAACAAUCCCAUUCCCUCAGCCACUCCUCAUAAGACCUGUGCUCUAGACCCCUCACCAGCUUUCCGCUCUUCAUAAGGCCUGUGCUCCAGACCCCUCACCAGCUUUGUUGCCCUCCUCUGGACACGCUCCAGGGCCUCGAUGUCUUUCUUACAGUGAGGGGCCCAAAACUGGACACAGUACUCGAGGUGCGGCCUCACCAGUGCUGAGUACAGG
rnacentral:lncRNA from 1 species